rnacentral:rRNA from 1 species
AUUGAACGCUGGUGGCAGGCCUAACACAUGCAAGUCGAACGGAUGAAGGGAGCUUGCUCCUGGAUUCAGCGGCGGACGGGUGAGUAAUGCCUAGGAAUCUGCCUGGUAGUGGGGGAUAACGUCCGGAAACGGGCGCUAAUACCGCAUACGUCCUGAGGGAGAAAGUGGGGGAUCUUCGGACCUCACGCUAUCAGAUGAGCCUAGGUCGGAUUAGCUAGUUGGUGGGGUAAAGGCCUACCAAGGCGACGAUCCGUAACUGGUCUGAGAGGAUGAUCAGUCACACUGGAACUGAGACACGGUCCAGACUCCUACGGGAGGCAGCAGUGGGGAAUAUUGGACAAUGGGCGAAAGCCUGAUCCAGCCAUGCCGCGUGUGUGAAGAAGGUCUUCGGAUUGUAAAGCACUUUAAGUUGGGAGGAAGGGCAGUAAGUUAAUACCUUGCUGUUUUGACGUUACCAACAGAAUAAGCACCGGCUAACUUCGUG